rnacentral:misc_RNA from 1 species
GAUGAAGAACGUAGCGAAAUGCGAUAAGUAAUGUGAAUUGCAGAAUUCAGUGAAUCAUCGAAUCUUUGAACGCACAUUGCGCCCUCUGGUAUUCCGGGGGGCAUGCCUGUUCGAGCGUCAUUAUAACCACUCAAGCUCUCGCUUGGUAUUGGGGCUCGCGGUUCCGCGGCCCCAAAAUCAGUGGCGGUGCCUGUCGGCUCUACGCGUAGUAAUACUCCUCGCGAUUGAGUCCGGUAGGUCUACUUGCCAGCAACCCCCAAUUUUUACAGGUUGACCUCGGAUCAGGUAGGGAUACCCGCUGAACUUAAGCAUAUCAAUAAGCGGAGGA